GCCUACUAUAAUUUCCAUAACAAAGCCCACUCUCCCUUUACCAAAAUAAAUAAAAGAACCAAAUUCUAGUUAAAUUUAAAGGCCCAACAUCUAAAAAGGGAUCAGCCCAUUUCAUUAAUUAAUUUAGUCCAUAUACUCCCCUUCCACCACACGUAUCACUACUCUCUCUCACCUAAUCACUAUUCACCUUCUCCCCUAAUUUCACAAAAUGCACAACCUCUUUCUCUCCCCUUUCUCUUCUCUCUUCUCUUCACCGCACCGCCGCCGUUGCCACCGCGGAUCCGUCACCGCCGCGGAUCCUCCACCGCCGUUGCCAAGAAUCUCCCCCAACCGCCGUGGAUCCCGCUAACACCUCGUGCAGCUCCUCCCGCCGUCGUGCGUGUUGCUGCCGCCGUUGUGCAUGCACAGGCGGCGGCUUCGCCGUCCUCUUCCCGGAGGUCCGCCGCCUGCACGCUCCAUCUCUCUUUCUCGGUAAGAUUCGCCUCACCACCGCCAUGAAUCCUCCGUCGCGGAUCCGCCGUCGUCGGCUCCUUCCUCCAUCAUCUUCUCCUUUCCAUUCAUCUCUCUCGGCUCCCCCUCUCUCUCGGCUCCCCCCCUCUCUCUCUCUUCUUCUCUCUUCGCCGUCGCGCCGCCAUCCCCCUCUGUUUUCCUCCCGAUCCGCCGCCGCCGCCGCUGUACUUCGUCGCCCUCCUCCCGGAAGUCUGCCGGUCUGCACGCUUCACACAGCCGGAGCAGUAUCCCGAAGCCAACACGGUCGCUGCCUCCUCGCCGACCCCCGAAUGAUUCGUCAAGGAUGGGAUUUUAUUGAUGGAUUUGGGGUAUUGGGCUGUCAUCGUCGGCAACGGCGUGCUAAAGCCCGCUGCCGGAACCAUUCAGAUUCAUAGAGAUAAGUUCUUCUCUUUCUUUCUAGUUAUUUAGGCAGUAGGAUUCUAUUUUGUUUCUAUUUACUGAAUUUGGUGAAUUUUGAGUAUAUGGCAUGCUAUAUUGAAGACUUAAUGGUGAAAUACAGUAGGUUGUUAAACUUGAGGUGGCAGAUUAUAUUUCCAGUACAUUUUUUUAUAUUAAACUUUGUUUUCAAAGCUCAUACAAUAUGUCUUCAAACAGUUAGAUGAUGCCUAGAGCUUGUUAUACUUAUAAAACUAUGGAUUAAAUGAUGUUUACAUGUAAGUUUCGAUCAUUAGAUGUUAAAUUUGCCUAUAUGCAAUAUGUUAUGAUACGUGGAGGAAAAAAAAAGUUACUGAUGGUACUCACCUCUGUGGUGUGAAGAAGAAAGUGACUCGUUUUUGUUGUUUUUCUUUUUGGACUUUCCUCUGACUCUAUGGAAGGAUGGAUCUCUGCUGCCUUUUCCUUUUCUUUGGUGAUAAGUAUAUUUUGGUGGAAUGGUGGGACAGGUGAAAAGGAUAGUAUUUAGGGGUGAUGAUAGCAAGUGGUCUGACAAAAUUUUAUCACAAAUAUUCUCAUCUGUCAGGAAAAGAUUGUAUGAUACAAAUUUUAUCUGCAGCAUUAAAUGAGCUGUCGGAAAUUUGAUCCUCUAGGAUUUGCUUCCUUUUUUUAUAUAAAUAUAUUUAUUAUAUAUAUAUAUAUAUAUUUUAUUUAAUUAUUUAAAUAAUUGUUUAUUGAUUUAUUCACUUGUUUGUUAAAUUUUGGUGUAGGUAUAAUCGUUUCAAGUUCGUGGCCGUUCGCGUUGAAGUACCCGUUUUCUUGAAACAUACGAUGUAUAAAUUAAAUUUUCGUUGGACUUUUGUUGGAUGUAUCGGACAUUUAACAUUUUGAUUGUGGAACCUUAUUUAUUAAAUUUGUUAUAUUCAUAUAGAUGUAA